ACACCUGACGCUUUAAAGCAAACCAUUAAUGUCUGUUUAAACUGUUUGGCCGUUAAAUAACAUCAUCAUGUGCAGUUUUUAGCAGCUAAAAGAGCAAUAAAUGCAGCCAAAUGUUACCCAGUUGUAUUUUGUCGGCUUACUAAAUGUCCUUAACUAAAAUGUUUGUCGAUUUUGUUAAUAGCUUGCUCUUCUCAUAUAGUCUCUAUAGCCUACGGAAAUCCAGAUACCGACAAGCAUCCAUUAUUUUCCCAUUCCGCGCAUAUGCAAAUCCAAAACGUACUUUUUUCAGCGCGAGACAUAAGAUGGGCGUAACUCUAAAUGGAUCAUGCACGCUGACUUCUCAACAAUAACUCAUCAAUUCACAACGGGACGCCGAUUUAGCUGCUUCAGUUUCCGCACAUGUCCACGACACGCCGGGCUCGCACGAGCUGCACGGAGACCCACGACAGACGCGAUGCCGGUUUUUGGAGUAGGAGAAUACGUUGUGUACCGAUGCCGUGUCAGACCACUCAAGUCAAAGCCAAUAGCUGUUUGCAACUUAUUGGUCCGGAAUGAUUUGACUACUACUUUUGCACAGUGACGUGGACGCGCUAUUAUUGUGCAUUGCAAUUAGGACGAGUUUCUUGGUCUUAUGUGGAUUAGACAUGGUGUGGUGUAAUGGAUCAACCCAAGUUUGGCGUUCACUAGAAGAUCAUCAGUGACAGCCUAAAGGUACAGGAGACUUCGAUGCUGCAAGUGAAUAAUAAAACACAGCAAUCAAAUGACCACAGAGGUCAGAAGGCAUAAGACGAGUGGAGAGUGGGAGUUGUGAUGGUGGUGGAGUCAAACCAGAGCAGGUGAAUGCAGCUGCGGACCGCCAUGGGCUCUCUUCCAACGGUCCCAACUCUCCAUCUUCGGGUCUCUGAAAGACGGCAGGGGCCAGCCAGGGAGCAUCGGAGUGGGCAGCCGAGGCAGCUCGCUUUUCCCGCCGGCUACCAGCUCCUAUGCAGCGAGGAGGGAGAGAAAUCAAUACUGAGGAGAGAUGCUGCCAGGGGUCACCCAACACUGCCUCCAGCCAUGGAGCCAUGGGAGCCCAUGUACUCAGCUUUCUCUUCCUCAACCCAAUCUCAGUCAACUCACAUCAGCUAAAGAGAGGGCCAAGAGUCUUGCUUCUCUUCAUGCAACAGCGAGUUUAUGUGUGGUUCUACCAGAGGGCCUUUCCAGACACGGGCAUCACUUGAUAAAAUUCAGAGAACGAAUAGAAAAAGAAUGUCAAAGGUCCUUUUUCACCAUGAGUGCACAUUCCCCAUGACUGUUUGAAUGAGUGCUUGAUGGAGAUCUCUUUUACAAAAAAAUCAGGAGGAUGAGAGAACAGUUUGAAUCUUUUUAUUUGUACCUUUUCCAGAUUUUUUUUUUAACUAAUCACCAACGUUCGAGAGCUUGGAAAAGGACUUUGCCUUCAUUUGUAGGGAAGGGCUUGGCACUCACGUUUGCUUGGUACUUCAUAACGGUUUUUACUCAUGACCAUGGCAUUUGAUGGGUAUUAACAACAUUUCAGACCAAGGGAAGGACAAUUCAAGUGAUUCAGGGGUUGAAAAGUCUCCUGAUUAGCCCUCUUGAGAAAGUGCCACAAAAGUUGCUAUCACCUGCAAGGCCCCAGAUCCGCUUGGGAUGUGGAAGACUCUGAAAUGUUCAUGAAACAAGAUGCAUACAACUCAAAUUGGAUGAAUGCAAGGAUAUUUGUUUCGUUGCAUGCUGGUUGCAGUAGAUAGUUCCUGUAUCUGUGGAUGACCAUUGGAAAUGGAGUAACGCUUUCAAAAAAGAAGUGAAUUAGGUUCUUUAAUAACACAAGAGAUGCCGACCAAAGCUGAACGAGUUUUUCCUUUAACCCUGGACCAUCACAGACCAUUCAGAAGAAAUUCUUUCUUUCUCUCUUUUUCUUUCUUUCUUUUCCUUCUUUCUUUCUUUACAGGUUUUUCUUUAUUACUUGACUGUAUAUGAUUGCUUUUUAGUUAUUGCUUGAGUGUUAUAUACUUUUAUUUUUAUUUUUUAGGGCCUCAUCUAUUAGGUAAGUAUUUUUGGACAAUUAAAGGGUAAGUUAAGUAUUUAAUUCCAUUAACUGAAUCUGACAAUUUAAUCAUAGCGAUUUUUAUUAUUUACUUGUAUUUUACCUUGUAAGAAAAUUACAAUAAUAUCAGCAUAGUCUCAUGACAACUAGUAAUAAUUUGUAUGAGAUGGCAAAACCGUAAGUUAUUGUACGAAAAGCUACGACUAAUCAAUCGUAUUUGCUUUCUUUGACUCGUUCCAAACCCCAUGUUUUCUUCCGUGAUACACAACAAGGAUUUUCCUAUUAAAUUUAUGGUCAUGUUUAGGUUUUGGUUAGGGGUUAAGCUUUGGAAAAAUCCUAUUAUGAUUGUUGGGAGCAUCUCAUAAUUGAAUUACAUGUCAUGAAAUCAGGUUAAUAAUAUUACAUUUACAAACUUUUGUUUACUGUUGUAAACUGUGGCUGCCUCAUUGCCUUGUAAUAAACAAUUCAUAAGUGUUUGAAUAAA